CCCACCUGCAGCUCUGUCUCCGCCCCCUGCUGCGGAGUGGUCCACCUGGCUGCGGAGGUUCCGCGCGGACUCCGAGAGGAGCCUCGUUUUUUGAGCUGCGCAGGCGCCGUUGCCUGUUUCUCCUCACGCCGCCCUUUAAUAAGCCUGAAGGAUAUGACCCUCUGAACUGAGUAAUUAGACAUUACACGUUGUACAAGAGAAGUACUAGGGAAGUGAAGGCUUGAAAGGAGGACUGGGGAGCCAGAGGACUCAGCAGCAGGCAAUCCCAGAAGCCAAGCACACACAGCCCACAAGCUGGGACCACCAAGAAUCAGCUAUACCAGCCACAGGUGUACAUGUAUAAAGACAGAAGAGAAUCAUGCAAAAUGAAAUUCUAUAGUUGAUGGCAAAGCAGACUGUGGUUAUGGACCUGAGAAGAAGAAAGGAGACAAGAGAAGAGAAAGGAAGAAGUGGGAGAACAAAGAGUAUAGAAGAGGAAAUUUUAGGGAAUUUGCUGUCAGAAGAUAGAAAAAAGGCUCACCCAUUCUAAAUGCUGGCUUACAACUCACUCAUGGGCGCCAAAACAACCCACUCAGAUGAGCCUCCUCCGCAUUUCUCUGUCAAAUCCUUUUGCUCUCCAAUCUGAAUUGAAACCCUUAUUUGAACAAUUGCCUGCUUUUAAAAUUUUCUGGAUUGACGUCUGUCUUACUCUCAAACCGAAACAUUUUUGCGUUCUUCCAAGCCCAGGUCAGGGACCUUAAUAAGACAUCAUAAAAGAAAUAGAUUUGGCUUCAGCUUGGCAUCUUCCAGAGUAGAACAAUGAAUUCUGAGUCUUGCAAAUGCAUGGGUUUCCAGGCAGUUUUGUAGACUCAUACGCUCUCUGUAUUCAUGAAAUAUCACGUCAAUGAAAAUUCUAAUCAGUGCAUUAACA
rnacentral:lncRNA from 1 species